AAUAUUAGGAAUGAUAUAGAUAAUAUUAGGAAUGAUAUAGAGAAUAUUAGCAUGGCCGUUGUGCAAGGACAACACACAAAUUUACGAAGUGUUACAUAGUUUU